UGGGGAAUAUUGCACAAUGGACGGAAGUCUGAUGCAGCAACGCCGCGUGGAGGAUGACACAUUUCGGUGCGUAAACUCCUUUUAUAUGAGAAGAUAAUGACGGUAUCAUAUGAAUAAGCACCGGCUAACUCCGUGCCAGCAGCCGCGGUAAUACGGAGGGUGCAAGCGUUACUCGGAAUCACUGGGCGUAAAGAGCGUGUAGGCGGGUUGAUAAGUUUGAAGUGAAAUCCUAUAGCUUAACUAUAGAACUGCUUUGAAAACUGUUAACCUAGAAUAUGGGAGAGGUAGAUGGAAUUUCUGGUGUAGGGGUAAAAUCCGUAGAGAUCAGAAGGAAUACCGAUUGCGAAGGCGAUCUACUGGAACAUUAUUGACGCUGAGACGCGAAAGCGUGGGUAGCAAACA
rnacentral:rRNA from 1 species